AGGUUAAGUGGAUAGCCUUGAUUCCCACAGCUGCUGCUUCUCACGCCCGUUCUCUGCUCAUGUGUAAGUCAUGAAGCUCCUCUGAAAGACUUAGGCAACAGCAUUAACCUAGCAGCUGAAUCCUCUUUUUUUUUCUUUUAGAUCGAAACGUUAGGUUUUAUCAUUUGAAAGCACAGAGGGAGAGCACAAGUCUCAGAAGUCUCUGAGCCCAAAAGGCAGGAACUUCACAGCAUUUGGCUCUGCAAACUCCCUCCUGUGCCUGCUCACCCUGGGAUACCUCCCUCCUGGCCUGGUUCCACUCUGCUUUGAAGAGAUAGCUGAUCCAGGCCAUGUCAGACAUGGGUUUCUCUCACCGUCUCUGGCUGAUUCCACUCGCCGGCGUUCUUCAAAUGCUGCUAGGAGAGCCACUCAUGCAGAACUACAAAUGUUGUCUUCCGUGAUAAAAUUAUCCUGUGCGGGCUGGGAAAUCCACCCCACGCAGCGGGCAGCCCUCAACUGACAAUGCAGCUCCCGGAAAACACUCAGCAGCCAAGCUCUGAACAGUGAUUAGCGCAAGUGUCUGUUUUGCUUACGCAUCUUCACAUACAGACAUUUUCAGGCUGGGUAACCAAGGAACCCUUGCUGCUCCUACAUUUUCCAAAGCAUUCAAGUAGGGGGGUCACUGCAAAUUCCUGGAGGGACAAAUCCGCUUGUCAAUGAGCUGAGAAGAGCACGAAAAUCCUCUCCAGUAAAUUCUUUCUGGUGAGUUUUUCCU